rnacentral:rRNA from 1 species
GAUGAACGCUGGCGGCGUGCCUAAUACAUGCAAGUCGAGCGAACGGACGAGAAGCUUGCUUCUCUGAUGUUAGCGGCGGACGGGUGAGUAACACGUGGAUAACCUACCUAUAAGACUGGGAUAACUUCGGGAAACCGGAGCUAAUACCGGAUAAUAUUUUGAACCGCAUGGUUCAAAAGUGAAAGACGGUCUUGCUGUCACUUAUAGAUGGAUCCGCGCUGCAUUAGCUAGUUGGUAAGGUAACGGCUUACCAAGGCAACGAUGCAUAGCCGACCUGAGAGGGUGAUCGGCCACACUGGAACUGAGACACGGUCCAGACUCCUACGGGAGGCAGCAGUAGGGAAUCUUCCGCAAUGGGCGAAAGCCUGACGGAGCAACGCCGCGUGAGUGAUGAAGGUCUUCGGAUCGUAAAACUCUGUUAUUAGGGAAGAACAUAUGUGUAAGUAACUUUGCACGUCUUGACGGUACCUAAUCAGAAAGCCACGGCUAACUACGUG